rnacentral:rRNA from 1 species
AUGGCCCAACGCGCCGACCCAAAUCCAAAUCACGUGCGCUUCACGUCCGCGCCGACGCAUUUGCAGCCUAAAUUUGCGUCCCAAAUGCGUCGGCACGGACGCCGAACGGACGUCACGCGUGCCUUCUCGCUGUCCGCCGCGUCCCCACCUGGCGGCCGUCCAACUACCCGCGCCCACGCGGUCAGCUUAAUUUAUGACCAAUGGCCCACGCGUCAGCGACGGGGGUCAUCCUUUUUUAAGCCGACCGUGCGGUGGGGCCGUCCUCAUCCAAACUUGCCGUCCAUAUCGAGCAAGCUUUGCUCCUCCUUCGCCGGCAUACCCUAG